rnacentral:rRNA from 1 species
AAUAGAUACCCGGGUAGUCCAUGCCGUAAACGUUGGGAACUAGAUGUGGGGACCAUUCCACGGUCUCCGUGUCGCAGCUAACGCAUUAAGUUCCCCGCCUGGGGAGUACGGCCGCAAGGCUAAAACUCAAAGGAAUUGACGGGGGCCCGCACAAGCGGCGGAGCAUGCGGAUUAAUUCGAUGCAACGCGAAGAACCUUACCAAGGCUUGACAUAUACCGGAAAAGGCUGGAAACAGUCUCCCCGCAAGGUCGGUAUACAGGUGGUGCAUGGUUGUCGUCAGCUCGUGUCGUGAGAUGUUGGGUUAAGUCCCGCAACGAGCGCAACCCUCGUCGUAUGUUGCCAGCACGUAAUGGUGGGAACUCAUAUGAGACUGCCGGGGUCAACUCGGAGGAAGGUGGGGAUGAGGUCAAAUCAUCAUGCCCCUUAUGUCUUGGGUCUUCACGCAUGCUACAAUGGCCGGUACAAAGGGCUGCAAUACCGCGAGGUGGAGCGAAUCCCGAAAAGCCGGCUCAGUUCGGAUUGAGUCUGCAACUCG